UACGUAGGGGGCAAGCGUUGUCCGGAUUUAUUGGGCGUAAAGAGCGUGUAGGCGGCCAUACAGGUCCGUUGUGAAAACUCGAGGCUCAACUUCGAGCUGUCGGUGGAAACUUUCUGGCUAGAGUCCGGAAGAGGAGAGUGGAAUUCCUGGUGUAGCGGUGAAAUGCGCAGAUAUCAGGAAGAACACCGAUGGCGAAGGCAGCUCUCUGGGACGGUACUGACGCUGAGACGCGAAAGCGUGGGGAGCGAACAGG
rnacentral:rRNA from 1 species